UCGCAAGAGAGCGUUCACAGGUGCUGCAUGGCUGUCGUCAGCUCGUGUCGUGAGAUGUUCGGUUAAGUCCGGCAACGAGCGCAACCCUCGCUUCCAGUUACCAUCAAGUAAUGUUGGGGACUCUGGAGGGACUAACCCGUUAGGGUGGGAAGGUGGGGAUGACGUCAAGUCAGUAUGGCCCUUACAUCUAGGGCUGCACACGUGCUACAAUGCCUGGUACAAAAGGAGCCGAGACCGCGAGGUGGAGGAAAUCACAAAAGCCAGGCCCAGUUCAGAUUGCAGUCUGCA
rnacentral:rRNA from 1 species